UACGUAGGGGGCAAGCGUUGUCCGGAUUUAUUGGGCGUAAAGAGCGUGUAGGCGGCCAGGUAGGUCUGCUGUGAAAACUCGAGGCUUAACCUCGAGAUGUCGGCGGAAACCAUCUGGCUAGAGUCCGGAAGAGGAGAGUGGAAUUCCUGGUGUAGCGGUGAAAUGCGCAGAUAUCAGGAGGAACACCAAUUGCGAAGGCAGCUCGCUGGGACGUUACUGACGCUGAGACGCGAAAGCGUGGGGAGCAAACAGG
rnacentral:rRNA from 1 species